rnacentral:tRNA from 6 species
CAGGAAGUAGUUCAGUUGGAAGAACGCUGGUUUCGGGAACCAGAGGUCCGGGGUUCGAGUCCCCGCUUCCUGACCA